rnacentral:rRNA from 1 species
UACGUAGGGUGCAAGCGUUAAUCGGAAUUACUGGGCGUAAAGCGUGCGCAGGCGGUGAUGUAAGACAGUUGUGAAAUCCCCGGGCUCAACCUGGGAACUGCAUCUGUGACUGCAUCGCUGGAGUGCGGCAGAGGGGAUGGAAUUCCGCGUGUAGCAGUGAAAUGCGUAGAUAUGCGGAGGAACACCGAUGGCGAAGGCAAUCCCCUGGGCCUGCACUGACGCUCAUGCACGAAAGCGUGGGGAGCAACAGG